rnacentral:rRNA from 1 species
GUGAGGGAGCAUGAGAAACGGCUACCACAUCUAAGGGAGGCAGCAGGCGCGUAAAUUACCCAAUCCUGACUCAGGGAGGUAGUGACAAGAAAUAGCAAACCGGGAACCUCAUGGUUUCACGGUAUUGCAAUGAGAACAAUUUAAAACCCUUAGCGAGAAUCAAGUGGAGGACAAGUCUGGUGCCAGCACCCGCGGUAAUUCCAGCUCCACUAGCGUAUAUUAAAGUUGUUGCAGUUAAAAAGCUCGUAGUUGAACCUCUGUCUGGGGCUAGUUUUGGCUUUGGUCAGGCUAGUUCUAGGCAUCCGCCUACAAGACUUAGAGGGCAUUCAGUUGUUCGCUAGGAGGAGUAGGCAUUUUACUUUGAAAAAAUUAGAGUGUUUAAGGCAGGCAAUCGCCCGCAUAUAUUAGCAUGGAAUAAUAGAAUAGGACACUUUUCCAUUUCGUUGGUUAUUGGAAUCGUGUAAUGAUUAAUAGGGACAGUUGUGGGCAUUUGUAUUUAAUUGUCAGAGGUGAAAUUCUUGGAUUUAUUAAAGACAAACUAACGCGAAAGCAUUUGCCAAGGAUGUUUUCAUUAAUCAAGAACGAAAGUUAGGGGAUCAAAGACGAUCAGAUACCGUCCUAGUCUUAACUAUAAACUAUUCCGACUCAAUGUUUGACUGGCUUAUAUAACCAGUUGAGCGUUGUAUGAGAAAUCAAAGUCUUUAGGUUCUGGGGGGAGUAUGGUUGCAAAGCUGAAACUUAAAGGAAUUGACGGAAGAGCACAACCAGGAGUGGAUUCUGCGGCUUAAUUUGACUCAACACGGGGAAACUUACCAGGUUAAAACAAUAGUGGGAUUGACAGUUUGAGAGCGCUUUCUUGAUUGGUUGGGUGGUGGUGCAUGGCCGUUCUUAGUUGGUGGAGUGAUUUGUCUGCUUAAUUGCGUUAACGAACGAGACCUUAACCUGCUUACUAGACUGGCGAUCAUCAAUCGUUAGCUCUUCUUAGAGGGACUUUGGUUGUUUUAACUCCAAGGAAGUUUGAGGCAAUAACAGGUCUGUGAUGCCCUUAGAUAUCCUGGGCCGCACGCGUCAUACAAUGACUAGUUCAGAAAGUUUUCUCCUGACCCGAAAGGGGAUGGGUAAUCUUGAUAAUACUAGUCGUGUUAGGGAUCGAUCUUUGCAAUUAUAGAUCUUGAACGAGGAAUUCCUAGUAAGUGCGGUUCAUCAGACCGUACUGAUUACGUCCCUGCUCUUUGUACACACCGCCCGUCGCUUCUACCGAGUGGGUGGUCCGGUGAGAUAAUUGAACUUCGCAGGUAACUGAGAGGAAAGAUUAUCAAACCUAUCCACCUCGAGGAAGAAGAAGUCGUAACAAGGUU